GUGAAAAGAGUCGGGAGAAGGGUCCAGAGAUCAAAAGAAGACAAAGAUGUUAACAGAUCUUCCUGAGAACAAGAAUGUGGCAGCAGGAGGGAGACUUGUCAGAGCCAUCUAGGGUGACAGCGUGGAGGGCAGAGAGAGACCUCCAUACUCUAUAAGAACCCAGAAAGGCUCCAGAAGAAGAUGUUGCAGCCUUGAGCAGCUUCUUUCCUCGUGCCAUGGCUGGAAAAGUACCGUGUGUAAGACUGACAGAGUCCACAUCACAGCGGGGCCUUCUUUAAAUGCCUCCAAGGCUUGGAAAACAAAGAUUGCUCUAAGAUAUCUAACGCUGACCGCCUCUAACGAGAUGAACUCGGGGUUAUUCCCUCUCGCCGCUCCCUGCACGGCUGCUUAACCUCAACCUCUCCAC